rnacentral:tRNA from 1 species
AUACUGCGGGAAUAGCUCAGUUGGUAGAGCACGACCUUGCCAAGGUCGGGGUCGCGAGUUCGAGUCUCGUUUC